GUGACCCGAAGUCAACACAAGGGUUUAACCACCUGCUCACACAGGCACGCACGCAAACGGGAGAAUUCAACCUCCAGAUACCAAGGUCAACCCAAGCCCGGCAUGAUAAACAUGUGCAUGGGACCAGCCCUUUAGUAUAAACAGCAACCUAGCUGAGAAACCAUCCAUUUACAAGAAAUGAUGUAGUAAUUACAGUCCCCAGCAGUGGCAGUGUUGUACACUGUUGGAUGUGGGCCGUGCAGUAGUCUGUGUUGAUCUGAAACGGCCAAUAUCACCACGUAGAAAGGAGCAGUAGUGAGCUACGAGGAAGCAGCAGCUGUGUGGGAUAGUCAGGCAGGCGGCGGAGCCUUUACAGUCGUUAUCAUUCAUCUAUAGGCUAUGGCCAUAAUGCGAUAAUAAUUCACAAAGAGCUGAUGAAAUGUUUCGCAAUGAAUGAAUGCAUGCACAGAACUGCAAAAGAGCAAAUGAUAAAAGGACAUGAUCUAUAUUCAAAGAAUGUAUUAUGUUUAGAUAGGAUUUAAAAUUCCGGUGCUCGGUUUUCUCACUUUUUGCUGCUAAAAAACCUAAAUACGGAAGCUCUACCAGUGCACUGCACACAUAGCUCGCUUUGGGAAUUUGGGAACCCCCACACCGGUGCUGUCAGCGCUACCGUUGCUGUCCAUCUAGGGGCUUCCCGCGUAGUGUGUUUGCGUGCCCGCGCCGGCUGCGUUUGUGUGAUUAGCAGGCACGAGCCCGCGCGCGACUGGAAGGGAAUAGCAGGGAGUUUUCCUGCGGAGUUUUUCACCGGCAGUCGGUCUGUGGGAUUUCCCAGUGAAGGCAGGAAUCUGGAUUCGUAGGGGAAAAUCAUCCCAAUUUCCCAACCGAUUGUUAUUGUCAACUAGCUGUCGAUGAACGAUAGCAGUGUGGAGAGAAACAGGCGAAUUAUAGGAAUUCAUUGGAGUGGCGGAGGCAAAACAUUACCGUGUUUAUUCUCAGAUUAUCUAAAUAUAACAAUUUGGCACAUCACACGUAGACGUCACUUCAGUUCAAUGGAACAGAGCCAAAAAAGUUGGGAACCACUGUAGCAUUUACGAGUUUUAGAGCUCUGCAAUAGCAUGUAGUUCAUUUAAAUUAACACUUCUGUCAUUUUUUAAAAUUAAAAUAUUGACUUUAACUUUAACUAUCCAGCAACCCCUAUAUAUAUAUAGGCCUAUUUUUUUUCUCAUUUCUAUCAGCAGUAAAACAUUUAGAUCUGUAAACAAACUAUGUUCUACUGUCUUUCUACUAAACUAUAUUUAGUAACAGUGACACAUUUCUGUGCAUUUAUGCACUUUGAGCAUACAAAGAGGGGGAUUCUGAUUAUUUAGGCCACCUGCAAGGAUAAGACAGUAAUUUGAGGCUUUGGGAUGGGACAAGUAGCUUGGGCAUCCAAUCUCCCUCCAACCCAUCUGCUUAAACAGCUCACUGACACUGGAUCAAGUCAAAGCCUUCGUUAGUUAGCUUGCAAUUACACCGCGGCCUCAUGCAGGCUUAAACAGCAUAGGUAGAAUAUCAGAUAGCAUAUUUUACUCCGUUUGAUUAAUGUUUUAGGAGAAUUUUGUGUUUCUCUCAGGGCAAUUUUGUUGAACCAUGACACAUUUGUGUUGCAUAUUUGCUGUAUGUUUUUAAUUCAAAUCCCACAGGUUAUUUUCUGUUUUGUUUGACUGUCAUUUGUUUAUUUUUGUCUCCUGCUUGUCUCCUGCUUCAUUGUGUGUUGUCUUCUUCUUUUCUCAUUUAAGAAAUAUUCUCCACACCUGCCAAAGCACCUGCAGUGACCCACCCUAUGUCACGCAGCUAUUGGUAAAGUAUAAAGUGGGAUCAGAGAGAAGAAAAACAAGGUGGCGGGUGGAACUACUCCUUUAAUUGACAGCUUGAAGUGGAGACGACAUGCAGCAAAGGGCCCCGGUUUGGAUUAGAAUCCAGCCUAUUGCCAAGGACUCUACUGG